GUGCAAUCAAUCUUUAGAACAUUUUCAAAUUGCGAAACUGAAACUCGUUACCUACUAAAUAUUUCCUAUUUCACCCUCUCCCUAACCCCUGGCAACCGCAAUUCUACUUUCUGUUUCUAUGAAUUUGACUACUCUUAAUACCUCAUAUAAGUGGAGUCCUACAAUAAAUUAUCGUUUUAAUCUGUUUUUGAAGCUGAAUUGAGACUUCAUUAUGAAGAAAGUCCACCCUCCAGUAGCUAUUGUCUAGGCACCUAUUCAGCAUAAUGCACAGCACUCAUUUAUACUAUUAAUCUAGUGAGGUAGGUUUUACACCCACCUUACAAGUGUGGGAAUGGGGGCUCCACAAGGUGAAAUACUGUGCCAAAGUUCACACAUCUAAUAAGAAGUAGGGCCACUGAAUCUAACUUUAUCUGACUUUAACAUCCACAGUCUUUUCAACACAGCUGUUGCCUUUUGAAAUAUUUAAAAGCUUCAAAGGAUGUCAACCAUCCACAUAUCUGAAGAAAUAUUUGCAUUUAAAGAACUCUUUAAAUACCUAGGAGGAAUACUGAUCUCAGAAUGCUCCUGUGGUCUACUCUGGUUCAGCCCUCUAUUUGCAGAAUGGAUAGCACAUAAUGGAAUAUAUGCCAACUCUUCACAUGGUCAUAAGAUGUUUCCAUGCUGCCCUUUUGCUACUAAUCAACAACAGAGAAUCCCCUGUGCAGUUUUUGCUGGAACGUCUGUGGAUUACUUGCCUCGUAACAGUAACCUAAAUAGCAGUCCAUUUGUUGACUCCUCUGUGGUAUAACUGCUAUCAUCAUACCAAGAUCACUCUGGCAAAACCUUCAGCUGUCUUUACAUCAAUUUCCCUGGAACUUCUGAUUUUCCAGAAAUUUUCCAAAGUAUAUAUUUGUCAUUAAGUUCUAGAAAAUUGUUGAAUUUUGUGUCCCUUGAUUAAAACAGUGAUUUUUUUGCACUCC
rnacentral:lncRNA from 1 species